CUCGGGAUCAGGUAGGGAUACC
rnacentral:rRNA from 1 species